GACGAACGCUGGCGGCGUGCCUAAUACAUGCAAGUCGAGCGGACGAAUCGAAAGCUUGCUUUUGAUUCGUUAGCGGCGGACGGGUGAGUAACACGUGGGCACCCUGCCCUGUAGACGGGGAUAACACCGAGAAAUCGGUGCUAAUACCGGAUAACACGAAAUGUCGCAUGACGUUUCGUUGAAAGACGGCGCACGCUGUCGCUACAGGCUGGACCCGCGGCGGAUUAGCUAGUUGGUGAGGUAACGGCUCACCAAGGCGACGAUACGUAGCCGACCUGAGAGGGUGAUCGGCCACACUGGGACUGAGACACGGCCCAGACUCCUACGGGAGGCAGCAGUAGGGAAUCUUCCGCAAUGGACGAAAGUCUGACGGAGCAACGCCGCGUGAGCGAAGAAGGCCUUCGGGUCGUAAAGCUCUGUUGUUAGGGAAGAACAAGUAACGCAGUAACUGGCGUGACCGUGACGGUACCUAACGAGAAAGCCACGGCUAACUACGUG
rnacentral:rRNA from 1 species